AUGGCUGCAGCUGUGCUGCCUGCAUCUUGUUUGGAUCAAUCGAUGAAUAAUCAAAGCUCUUGGAUGGACACCAAACGUGGGAGGAGCCUUAGUCCAGUGGAAAUCAAGGAUGACCACUCUAGGGGGAGUGAGAAUGGAAGGAAAGACAACUCAGCUGUACAGAAUGACUCUAGCCAUGCCAGACCAGGCAGAGGUCGGGAAUUUGUUAGGCAUUCUGAUAGGCAUUCCUAUGGAGCACCUCGUGAAUCCAGGAGGCAUGAUGAUUAUAGGAGGUAUCAUGAUAAGCGAGCUGAUGAUCAUGGCAGGAGCCAUUCUAGAACUUCUCGGUCAGAUCGGGAAUCAAGGGCUGACACUUACUAUUAUCCUUCAAAGCGUGAUGACACAUCUGAUAGAUCACAUGAUGAUUGGAGAAAUGUUGACAGCAGGUAUGGGGGCAAAUCUGUUAAGGGAGAGCAGAGGACUAAGAAUCAGGAAAAACAUGGGCCCCCACGUGAAUACCCUAGACAUGAUGGCACAGAGUAUGACAAAGAUGCUGAUUUAAGAAAGGAAACCAACUCUACCAGAAGGCAUCCAGAAGAAGAGGAAAGUAAAAACAAGGAGAAGUUCAAGCAGGAGGAUGCUCUAAAGAAGAGAAGCGGCAAGGAAAUUGAGAAAAGCAGCUGUGCAGCAGAACCUGAGCUAGAAACUAGGGAGAAGAGAAGAAGCUUGUUCAGUUCUGUUGGUCCAGGUGUUGAAAAUGCACAGCACAUGGAAAUGGAUACCUCAGGAGGAAUUAAAGACGAAACCAUGAAUGAUCUGAAUGCUGCAAAAGUUGCAGCGAUGAAAGCUGCUGAAUCAGUGAAGAAGAACAUUCUAGGAUUUGGGGUUGGAACCGGGCGGUUAUCCACUGACCAGAAGAAAAAGCUGCUUUGGGGCAACAAAAAGAGUAACCCUACAGAGACAAGCACUCACUGGGAUUCGAAUCUGUUUUCUGAUCGGGAGCGCCAAGAGAAAUUCAACAAACUCAUGGGUGUGAAGAGCAAUACCUCUGCCUCGGUUCAAGAGAGCAAGGCCGUCAACAAAGGGGAGGGUCCGGCGGAAGUCAAGAAACAGGAGGAGCUCGACACCGACCUGGAGAAACUCUAUGUAGCAGGCCUGCGCCGGAGAGAUGGCCGAACUGUCGGCCUCGGCUUGUAG
rnacentral:rRNA from 1 species